rnacentral:rRNA from 1 species
GUGUCAGCAGCCGCGGUAAUACGGAGGGUGCGAGCGUUGCUCGGAAUUAUUGGGCGUAAAGCGUACGCAGGCGGCUUGUCAAGUCGAGUGUGAAAUCCCGGGGCUCAACCCCGGACAUGCAUUCGAUACUGGCGAGCUUGAGUGCGGGAGAGGGAAGCGGAAUUCCUGGUGUAGAGGUGAAAUUCGUAGAUAUCAGGAGGAACACCGGUGGCGAAAGCGGCUUCCUGGCCCGACACUGACGCUCAUGUACGAAAGCGUGGGGAGCAAACAGGAUUAGAUACCCCCGUAGUCC